GACGAACGCUGGCGGCGUGCUUAACACAUGCAAGUCGAACGGAAAGGCCCUGCUUUUGUGGGGUGCUCGAGUGGCGAACGGGUGAGUAACACGUGAGUAACCUGCCCUUGACUUUGGGAUAACUUCAGGAAACUGGGGCUAAUACCGGAUAGGAGCUCCUGCUGCAUGGUGGGGGUUGGAAAGUUUCGGCGGUUGGGGAUGGACUCGCGGCUUAUCAGCUUGUUGGUGGGGUAGUGGCUUACCAAGGCUUUGACGGGUAGCCGGCCUGAGAGGGUGACCGGCCACAUUGGGCCUGAGAUACGGCCCAGACUCCUACGGGAGGCAGCAGUGGGGAAUAUUGCACAAUGGGCGGAAGCCUGAUGCAGCAACGCCGCGUGCGGGAUGACGGCCUUCGGGUUGUAAACCGCUUUCGCCUGUGACAAAGCGUGAGUGACGGUAAUGGGUAAAGAAGCACCGGCUAACUACGUG
rnacentral:rRNA from 1 species